CAGUUGGUGUCCUUUUCCACCUACCCACGCCUCAAGUACUAUACGGUGUGAGAAUUUAGCAAAGUGGAGAAACUGGACUCUAGAUCUUGUUGGGGAAAGCUCCCAUGAUCCCUGGCCCAUACUAACUGGGGAGCCAGAGUUCAACAACACUUGAAGGACCACCAUUUUUGCAGCAUUGAUUUAACACAUAACAGCCAUAUGUCUUGUAGCUCCAUUUACUUCAUGAGAGAUAGCACAGACAGGGCCAUCCCAUGUAUGGCCAUGUCUUUACCUGAGAUGUUGGGGGGACUGACAGACUCCCACUCCCCCUGCAACACGGUCCACCAUCCAGUUUGAAACCAUACUGGACCUGUUAGCUUUGCAAAUGUGCUAGCAGAUUUUUUGAAAUUGCUGCCCCACUUCUGAGUAAGCAUGCCUAGGAAUGCAGCGUUCAUUAACCUUUUAAAAAUGGAUGCCAAAUGUACGAUUCAUUUUUCUUGGGAUGAUGCAUAUUACUGACAAGACAAAACUUAAAUCCUUUAUUAUUUUUUAUUUUGCACACAGUGGAUAACUAGCGGGCAUCGCCAUGGAAACAUAGUCACUCUGUUUGAGUUUCAUCGCUCUCUGUCCUUCUAGAAGGCAUCCUGUUUUCUUCACACUUGACAGUUUCCUUUUGGCAAGUGGCCGUCCUGAAUAACAGGACAACUUGUGUUAAGUUGCAUUAAUCCAUAUCUGGGAAAGCCAGUUCUUUCCUGGCAGUUCUUAGGCCUCCGGCAGCAAUGAUACUGCAGUAUUACCAGCUGGAAUGAGGGGGGAUGUCAACAAAACUGACACUGCAGAGAGGUUUUAGUAGAGUCUCUUGGAAAUAAUGACCUUUCUUUUGUUCACUCCAAGCCUUUGGGACAGGUCAGAAAACACAUUAGUUUCCUUUACUAGCACAGAGUUGAUCUGUGUUUAAUAUUGGCAGAAAGGCUUCAUGAAUCCUCUACAGGCACUUUAGGCCCCAGGAAUGUGCAGUUAAUUAAAGCAACUCAACUCCAUUAUGUUGCAGUGUCUCGAAGAGAAGUUGGCCAUGAAGAGAGCUUCAGAAAACAGCACGAGCUUUUAGGCAUCCUUCACUCCAUUCUGGGGAAGCUUUGAGUUUCUCUCCCACAGCAAGAGAGAGUGUGAGAAACUCAAGCAAAACAUGUUACCAUAGUGAUCCACUGUCUCUGGGAGAAUCAAGUGGCCUCAUACCAUUCUUACAUUAUUUUCCUAACAACUGCUAACAACUCAUGGGCUGGUACAUCUUUAUAACUGUGUACUUUCUAAAGCUAAGCUUACAGAAACGAGACACGCUCCUACAACGUCACGAUAAGGCAUUUAAUGGCAAAAGGCCUUAGAGCUGAGGCACUGUGUCACAUGGUUCCUCAAAAGCUUGUGUUUGUGCAAAGGUACCAGAGUCUCCUGAGUAUUCCCUGAAGAUCAGAACCAAGGGGUGGACUACAAACGAUAGCAAGGAGAAGGCAUGAUGUAUAUUCCUGUGAGCUAGAAGGAAUGGAGAAGCACGAUUAAAAAUGACCUACUUUAGUAUGAUAAAUAAUACGUCAAAAAUUGAACAGAUGGACCCCUGCUGCUACAUUCAAGACUAAUUUCUCACCCUUCUUCAUGCUCAGACACUUGGAACGUUUCUCUUUGCAAAACGAGCGCUCCCUUUCCAUAAAAAAUGAAAGCCUUGCAACCAGCACCAGGGCACUCAAAUAUCAUUGGAGAAUUGAAACCUGUCACACUGCAUUCCAUAAUUUUCCAGCAUCACAGGAAUGAUUCACCCUGAUUGAGACUGCAGGCAAGUGACAAAAUACUGCUGUAUUAGCCAAAUAAUAAAAAAAGCAAUUUUUGCUU